AAACUCUGAAGACAAUGAGAUUUUACACCAAAUAUCCUCAAAACUAUAUAAGCGAGACAGCUGAUGGUGUUCUCCCUCAUUACACAGAAGUGCUGCUCAUGUUCAGAGCUCUGGAGGAAAAGGAAUGUCACCAGGCUCAGCACACUGCAGAUUGUUUCUGCUCGGCUGGGGAAUCCGAACACUUCCUUCAGUCCAUGGGCGUCGCUAGACCAUUUUUAGGGGGGUGUAGAGAGAGCAUCAGUAUAUGAUAACUCUGUAAACACACACUGCCCUGCGUUGUUUUUAGCCGAUAUUGUGUGACGUCCAGCCCAGUGUUUCUCUACGCUCUGAUGUUUGUCCAAAGGUGCUGAAGUGACAGACUGAGUCUCUCUGUGAGGCCAGAAGUUCAGAGGCUGUCGCGUGGCUCCUGCAGCUACACAGGGACGUGCUCUUCCUGCACAGUGCGCUACAUGAUCAGCUGCUGGGAGGCAUUCCUCUCCUCUGGAAACCUCUCGGCAUAUCAGAGCAUGAGUGAAAACAUAAGCCACGCCUUCCCUCUCAUGAGUGACAGCAUGAUGGGAGGAGCCAGUUUCCUUCCUGUCCCUGAGCCGCUAGAACCGGCCAGUUUUAGGUGAGGAACCACCAGGCCUAUCCAGCAUACAUGUGUUUACAAGGGUCCCAAGAUGCACCUCAUGAAGUUGGUUGAUAAAUAUCACUGCAUGUUGUGUUUAAUUUGUGGUUUCAGGCCAAAAAAUGGUAUCCAAGGAGAUCUUUUAUUGCAAUCCAUGGAUACAUUUUUAAGUCUUACUCUGCCUCAUUAGGGAUCAGGGAGCUCUGCCUCUGUGAUCUGAACGGCCGCUGUAGAAUGGAAGCUAAUGGGGUAAUUCUGGGCGUAUCUCUGGUCAUCAAUGAUGUGCUGAGUAGCGCUGCUCCAGCUACAGACCACAGGAGACAACGACAUCGCUGCAACAUCUGAUGGAGAAGUUCUUGAUGAUAACAUGGGAAAUGUUGAGAGAAAAACGGAGCUUGCGUCUAAAACUCAAGACCCCAUACUGUUCCUGAUGAAGCAGCAGGGAUUUUUACUGCUGUGGAAGCAGAUGGAGGUUUUUAAAGAGAGCUGGUAUCAAUGACAGAUGGGUUUUGAAAAAAUAAACACCCCAUGCGCUGUUUAAACACUUAUCGCAGCUUUGCAGGGUGGAGAUUUACAUUCCCAACAUGCAAGCUCUGGCCCAGCACAUGGAUGAGGAGAAGGAACAUGAGAUUUUGCUGUCUCAAACUCAGUCUGUCCUUCCACAACCUUGAGCAGCAGAAGUUGACAUCAAAACAUGGCAGUUACUGAGACUCUUGGAGAUCAUGGAGUGUGACAUGAUCCGAGCGCUUCAGAAGAGGAUUAGACUCUAGUGAUGUCGGCACGCUCGCGGCAUGACACGCAGCUCCCCACAGUUACCCAGCAUCCUCUUCUCCUGCAGGAACCCAGAGGAGAUCAAAGAGCACGAUGGGAGGAUGGCGCUGGGCCUGAUUCUCUCUGUAGGCUGUCAUUAGAAAGCCAAUAAACUUCACCACAGUUAGUCUCUUAUAUUUAGGAUAUUGUAACAUUUUCAUCUCAACAGCAACAAAAAAAAUAGUCCUCUCUGAAAUGCAUUGCCUGUCUUCACAUGUCAUUAAGAACUGUGGAAACGGCCUUCGAUGAAGCACACUGUUUCUCUAGAGAUUGUGGAGGAUUUCAUCCAGUGGUUCAUGAGUGGUGUUGAGCCUGAGACUGAUGGACAGGUGACGUUCUCCAGCGCUCAUCUGCAGGAGUGUUUGAAUGAACUGACUUGUGCUGUAAUAAAUCACAAGUUUUCCAGCGAUAUUCCCAGUUUUAUGAGCAAAUCCUUCAACAGCAGGAACAACUUCUUUACCAGAGAGAGCAGGAUGUUAAAGAGCUGGAAGCCAAAGAAAUGCAGGCCAGUGACCCCUACAGAAAGAUAUAUGCGUUGUUUGUGUGUAUAUCUCCGUUUUUCUUCACUACAUGUUCAGUAAACACGUCUGAUCUCAGGUGGCUGAUGUGUGUAGUGGGAUGAUGGCUGACAUCACAGCUCUGCGUGCCAGAGUUUGUCAACUGGAGGAGGAGAAGAGAAGCUUAGAGCAACAUCUCAACCUCAGAAACAGAGCGGGUUCACCAGCUCUUCUCCACAUGCAUUCUUAGGAAGUCACGUCUGGACAAAUACCAUAUGAAUAUGGAUCAUGAUGUGUGACAGCUGGUGAGCAGCGUGAGGAAGGAAGGCGUGGACAGAAUCAUCAAACCGAAAAAUAAAUUAUCCUCCACUAAUGAUAACGAGACCCUCAUUCACACACUUCAUGAGGUGAACCCCUAGAAUGAGCUUUGUUAUAAAGUUAUAUAAAUGUUUUUUAAUUAAAGUUAUAUUGAAAUAUCUCACAAAAAAAUCCAAAUAA